UACGGAGGGUGCAAGCGUUAUCCGGAUUCACUGGGUUUAAAGGGUGCGUAGGUGGCUUUGUAAGUCAGUGGUGAAAUCUUAGAGCUUAACUCUAAAACUGCCAUUGAUACUGCUUAGCUUGAAUCAAGUUGAGGUGGAUGGAAUAUUACAUGUAGCGGUGAAAUGCUUAGAUAUGUAAUAGAACACCGAUUGCGAAGGCAGUUCACUAAGCUUGUAUUGACACUGAGGCACGAAAGCCAGGGGAGCAAACGGG
rnacentral:rRNA from 1 species